rnacentral:rRNA from 1 species
ACAAUACUUUGGUUGGCGACCGGCGCACGGGUGCGUAACGCGUAUGCAACCUACCUUUAACAGGGGCAUAACACUGAGAAAUUGGUACUAAUUCCCCAUAACAUUCGAGAAGGCAUCUUCUUGGGUUAAAAACUCCGGUGGUUAAAGAUGGGCGUGCGUUGUAUUAGCUAGUUGGCGGGGUAACGGCCCACCAAAGCGACGAUGGAUAGGGGUUCUGAGAGGAAGGUCCCCCACAUUGGAACUGAGACACGGUCCAA